rnacentral:rRNA from 1 species
UUCUUCAACACCCGCGAUGUUUUUGUAUUUGGCGCUUAACGGCUCAAGUGUCUUGGCAGCAUCUUCUUUGGUGGUAGCACCAAUGGAGGCAAAUUGAAUUUUGGUUUCAGAAGAUUGCUUAAGCACCUUGUCACCUUUGUAGACAUAGGUAAUGGCAAUUUCAGUGCCGUUCAGAUUGGCGCUGAAUUUCUUCGAUUCUUCUUUGUCACCGCAGCCAGCAAGAGAAAAAACCAGAACAGAUGCAACAACAAGGGAAAACAGCUUAUUGACAGCCUUCAUGUAAAACUCCAUUUUAUUUAAUCAAGGAACUGGUGACUCUCACCAGGGGCUAUAUAGGAUAUGCCUAAUACCGUGGCGUGAGCAGUCCGGAACUGGAGUAGAACUCUUA